rnacentral:rRNA from 1 species
UGCAGAGGUCCCAAGCGUUGUUCGGAUUCACUGGGCGUAAAGGGUGCGUAGGUGGCGAGGUAAGUCGGAUGUGAAAGCUCGGAGCUCAACUCCGAAAUGGCAUUGGAAACUACCUUGCUCGAGGGUUGGAGGGGGGACUGGAAUGCUUGGUGUAGCAGUGAAAUGCGUAGAUAUCAAGCGGAACAUCAGUGGCGAAGGCGAGUCCCUGGACAACUCCUGACACUGAGGCACGAAAGCUAGGGGAGCAAACAGG